GUCCUCAAACACCCACACCAGGAUUGAGUGUUUGGUAGCUGUUCGCCAUGUGUCUUUUGAUUUACCAAUAGCCAUUGGCAACAGCUACCAUCUCACCAACUGAAUACCCUGAUAAAUAAAACAAAGACAUUUAAA